AGACGUAGGAGGCGAGCGUUAUCCGGAUUUACUGGGCGUAAAGGGCAAGUAGGCGGCGGUUCAAGUUGGACGUGACAUCUCCCGGCUCAACUGGGAGGGGUCGUUCAAAACUGGGUCGCUGGAGGGCAGGAGAGGGAAGCGGAAUUCCUGGUGUAGCGGUGGAAUGCUCAGAUACCAGGAGGAACACCAGUGGCGAAGGCGGCUUCCUGGCCUGUACCUGACGCUGAGAGGCGAAAGCCAGGGGAGCGAACGGGCUUAGAUACCCCGGUAGUCCUGGCCGUAAACGGUGGAUACUGGGUAUUGGGGGUGUAAGAUCCCUCAGUGCCGAAGCUAACGCGUUAAGUAUCCCGCCUGGGAACUACGACCGCAAGGUUAAA
rnacentral:rRNA from 1 species